AGCGGCCGGAGCCCAAAAUGGAAAUCACCGUGCAGAGUACGGCGAAUUGUAAUCUGGAGAGGAGAUGCUCAAAAGGUGGAGGCGCAGAACAGCCUGGAAAGGCUGGCCAGAGAGGGUGAUAGCCCCGUACGUGGCGCCGCCGCCUAACGAGCACUUCAUCAAAGAGUCGGGUUGUUUGAUAUUGCAGCCCCAAGCGGGAGAUAAACUUCUUCUAAGGCUAAAUAUAUGUGGGAAACCGAUAGCGAACAAGUACUGUGAAGGAAAGAUGAAAAGCAACUUGGAAAGGAUGUUAAAAGACCUGAAACCGUUGAGAAGGAAGCGGUAGAGAAGAAUAGUACUCGAAGGCGCUGAACCGGAGCUUCGGCGAAGGGGUGUGCUCAGAGUGAGGCCGGAUGGGGCGCCAACACCGCAAAGACACGGGAGAAAGUCGCUUCGGUGGAAUCUUGCGAAAGUCGGUGGAGUUGGGGCUCGAGGGGCUAUGUGCGAUCCGGUCAAAAUGGUCUUUACCGACUCGUCUUGAAACACGAACCAAGGAGUCUAACGUAUACGCGAGUGUGAAGGUGGAAAAACCGUCACGCGGAAUGAAAGUGAGUGAUGCCAAAGAAGCAGCAUCGACCGACCGAGCUCUCGGGUAAGGUUUGAGUAUGAGCGUGUCCGCUAGGACCCGAAAGAUGGUGAACUAUGCCUGCGUAGGGUGAAGUCAGGG
rnacentral:rRNA from 1 species